rnacentral:rRNA from 1 species
AACGUAGGUCACAAGCGUUGUCCGGAAUUACUGGGUGUAAAGGGAGCGCAGGCGGGAAGACAAGUUGGAAGUGAAAUCCAUGGACUCAACCCAUGAACUGCUUUCAAAACUGUUUUUCUUGAGUAGUGCAGAGGUAGGCGGAAUUCCCGGUGUAGCGGUGGAAUGCGUAGAUAUCGGGAGGAACACCAGUGGCGAAGGCGGCCUACUGGGCACCAACUGACGCUGAGGCUCGAAAGUGUGGGUAGCAAACAGG